GAGUGGAACAUGGCGACUUGCGCCGAAAUCCUGCGGAGCGAGUUCCCCGAAAUUGACGGACAAGUCUUCGACUACGUGACCGGCGUCUUGCACAGCGGCAGCGCGGACUUCGAGUCUGUGGAUGACCUGGUGGAAGCUGUAGGGGAACUAUUGCAAGAGGUGUCCGGGGACAGCAAGGAUGACGCGGGCAUCAGGGCCGUGUGCCAGCGCAUGGCUGAGCCACAAAGCCAGGGAAAUAGCCAGGUGCUACUGGACGCCCCUAUCCAGUUGUCAAAGAUAACGGAGAACUACGACUGUGGAACCAAACUUCCAGGACUGCUAAAGAGGGAACAGUCCUCGGUGAGGAGGAGGAAGCAAGGGAGGGGACUGUCUGUGAUGGGGUUGGGAGUUGACUGUCUAAUUGGAGUAUCUUUUGGGGGGAUUUCUGACUAUGUCUUUUCCUGAGCCUUUGAGUCUGUUCAUCAUGGGUAAGUUAAGAGGGUUUACUCGAGAUGUUCUCUCUUGGGGUUCCUUUCUGAGCCUACACCCGAGAGUGAAGUCCAUGUGUUUGGACC
rnacentral:sRNA from 1 species